CACAUCCAAGGAAGGCAGCAGGCGCGCAAAUUACCCACUCCCGGCACGGGGAGGUAGUGACGAAAAAUAACAAUACGGGACUCUUUUGAGACCCCGUAAUUGGAAUGAGUACACUCUAAAUCCUUUAACGAGGAUCUAUUGGAGGGCAAGUCUGGUGCCAGCAGCCGCGGUAAUUCCAGCUCCAAUAGCGUAUAUUAAAGUUGUUGCGGUUAAAAAGCUCGUAGUUGGAUCUCAGUUCCAGACGGGCGGUCCGCCUAACGGUGGUUACUGCCUGGCCUGAACAGCCAGCCGGUUUCCCUAGAUGAUCUUCACCGGUUGUCUUGGGUGACCGGCACGUUUACUUUGAAAAAAUUAGAGUGCUCAAAGCAGGCGUGUAGCCUGAAUAAUGGUGCAUGGAAUAAUGGAAUAGGACUUCGUUUCUAUUUUGUUGGUUUUCGGAACACGAGGUAAUGAUUAAGAGGGACAGACGGGGGCAUUCGUAUUGCGACGCU
rnacentral:rRNA from 1 species